ACGCGAAAGCCCCGCAAGGGGUAAGUAGAGUGGCAAACGGGUGAGUAACACGUGGGUGACCUGCCUCAGAGUGGGGGAUAACGACCCGAAAGGGUCGCUAAUACCGCAUAACAUCCUGCUUUUGGACAAGUGGAGAUCAAAGCCGGGGAUCGCAAGACCUGGCGCUUAGAGAGGGGCCCGCGGCCGAUUAGCUAGUUGGUAGGGUAACGGCCUACCAAGGCAACGAUCGGUAUCCGGCCUGAGAGGGCGGACGGACACACUGGGACUGAGACACGGCCCAGACUCCUACGGGAGGCAGCAGUGGGGAAUUGUUCGCAAUGGGCGCAAGCCUGACGACGCAACGCCGCGUGGAGGAUGAAGACCUUCGGGUCGUAAACUCCUUUCGAUCGGGAAGAACGUUUUCGGGGUGAAUAAUCCCGAGAAGUGACGGUACCGAGAGAAGAAGCCCCGGCUAACUCUGUGCCAGCAGCCGCGGUAAUACAGGGGGGGCAAGCGUUGUUCGGAAUUACUGGGCGUAAAGGGCCAGUAGGCGGCCAACUAAGUCCGACGUGAAAUCCCCAGGCUUAACCUGGGAACUGCGUCGGAUACUGGAUGGCUUGAAUUCGGGAGAGGGAUGCAGAAUUCCAGGUGUAGCGGUGAAAUGCGUAGAUAUCUGGAGGAAUACCGGUGGCGAAGGCGGCAUCCUGGACCGACAUUGACGCUGAACGGCGAAAGCUAGGGGAGCAAACGGG
rnacentral:rRNA from 1 species